rnacentral:pre_miRNA from 8 species
UGUGCAUCAUAGUCAAAUGCUCAACCACCUAGUGUGGCUGCUCAUACACCUGAUGGUUUAAGCUUGUACUGUGAUUUCAC